CCUACGGGAGGCAGCAGUCGGGAAUAUUGCGCAAUGGAGGAAACUCUGACGCAGUGACGCCGCGUGCAGGAAGAAGGUUUUCGGAUUGUAAACUGCUUUAGACAGGGAAGAAAAAAGACAGUACCUGUAGACUAAGCUCCGGCUAACUACGUGCCAGCAGCCGCGGUAAUACGUAGGGAGCAAGCGUUAUCCGGAUUUAUUGGGUGUAAAGGGUGCGUAGACGGGAAAACAAGUUAGUUGUGAAAUCCCUCAGCUUAACUGAGGAACUGCAACUAAAACUAUUUUUCUUGAGUGCUGGAGAGGAAAGUGGAAUUCCUAGUGUAGCGGUGAAAUGCUUAGAUAUUGCGCAGAACUCCGAUUGCGAAGGCAGCAUACCGGCGGCGAUCUGACGCUGAGGCACGAAAGCGUGGGUAUCGAACAGGAUUAGAUACCCGUGUAGUC
rnacentral:rRNA from 1 species